rnacentral:ncRNA from 1 species
CCGUCGGUUGGCACUUUUCGUCCUUUCUGGCCAUUUGUGAGUCCCGAAGGAGAAGGACGUCAGGGACUCAACGACGG